UACGAAGGUCCCAAGCGUUAUCCGGAUUUAUUGGGUUUAAAGGGUGCGUAGGCGGGUUAUUAAGUCAGUGGUGAAAGCCUACAGCUUAACUGUAGAACUGCCAUUGAUACUGAUGAUCUUGAGUAUGAUUGAGGUGGGCGGAAUGUGUCAUGUAGCGGUGAAAUGCUUAGAUAUGACACAGAACACCGAUUGCGAAGGCAGCUCACUAAGUCAUAACUGACGCUGAUGCACGAAAGCGUGGGGGAGCAAAACAGG
rnacentral:rRNA from 1 species